GCUCUAGGCAAUUACAAGUAAAGCAGUGAAAAAUUAAGCUAGAGCAAUUAUACUAUGGCUUUAGGGUGCAAUUGAUCUAAAAUUAACUUAUAGUUGUAUGAUCAAUUUUAAUCUAUGUGUAUGGUAAGAAUGGAGUGGAAGCUAAGCAAAUCACUUAUAACUCUAUAGAAAACAAAGCUAGAGAUAUUACACAAUCAAGCAUGAAUGUAAGGUAUGAAAUACAAGAGAUAAGGCAUCACAAACACAAAGAUGUAUAGUGGUUCGGUGCACCCCAGCACCUACAUCCACUCUCCAAGACCUCUUGGAAAUUUCACUAUAAUCCCUCAGAUUACAGUCGGUUGUUUUACAAGC
rnacentral:lncRNA from 1 species